KUCGAAUCCUUCCGUCCCAG
rnacentral:tRNA from 1 species